UGGAAAGAACAUAAUGGAUGGGGUUUCAUAUCAGACCCGCCUGUCACCGAGAGGACGACUGUCUGUGGCAGAAGAUAAGCUCUUGGAGAGGCUGGGGCUCUGGCUUGUGUUGAUGGCCACCCAAAGUCUGAUUGCCUCGGCCCUGGGAAAUUUGGACUGGAGUCUUCUGAGAACAAGGGUUCCCUUGUGGCUCUCUGGCAUCGACAGGACAGCGUCUUUUAGUGUAAUUAGUACUUCAGCUGUGGCCUUCGUCGGAAGCCAGAAGCUUGGAGAUUCAAGCAGUCAAAAACAAUGGUUGCUCACACCGUUGGGUGAAAUCUCGGUGGUUCCUUGCCAUUUCCCAAACUAAGGUGCCGUUCGGGUAUGGCCCCUAUGACGGCAUUCCCAGCCCUGAGCGUUGUUGGACACAAAGUGCCUGUUGAAUUGGAAAAAGUUUCCGGUGCUUGCUAAUGGUCACCUUUGCAUCCUUUUAAGCAAGCAGGCAAGCGGCGUCCCGAGCCACGGACCACAGACAUUGUCACCCGAAUGCCUCUCUGUUUGUGCCUUCGGGUUUGGAGGACCUCUUCCAUAUCCAAGACUGAUGCGGAUUCCUCACUGAAAUUUGAAAUGGUAAUUUUUAGUCACCACACAGGAAUGAAAAAUGGAAAUGAUUGCUUCAAGAUCCUGCAAGACGUGGUGCUAUAAUUACACACCGGGUUUAACGACGGUUGAGUCUGACACACACAUUCCUGCACUCUGCUGGAAUUAAUCGAGCACCUUUGGAACCUCGUGGGAGAAUAGGAUGAGUAUUCUGCCCACAAGCAAGGUGGGAUGCAGGAGAGAAUGGGAGGAAGACCCAGUCCUGAUGGGGGAAGUCUAGUGAUCCCACUCUGAAGAACGGCGAGGAUAUUAGGACAGAGCAUGUGGUGGGCAGAAGCUGGGAGACCUAGAAGUUAGCAGAAGUCUGGGUAAGGAAGA